rnacentral:rRNA from 1 species
CCUACGGGUGGGCAGCAGUGAGGAAUAUUGGUAAAUGGACGAAAGUCUGAACCAGCCAAGUAGCGUGAAGGAUGACUGCCCUAUGGGUUGUAAACUUCUUUUAUAAAGGAAUAAAACGAGGCACGUGUGCCUUUUUGCAUGUACUUUAUGAAUAGGGAUCGGCUAACUCCUUGCCAGCAGCCGCGGUAAUAGGGAGGAUCCGGGCGUUAUCCGGAUUUAUUGGGUUUAAAGGGAGGGUAGAUGGGUGGUUAGGUCAGUUGUGAAAGUUGGUGGCUGAACCGUAAAAUGAAAAUUGAUACUGGCAGUCGUGAGUACGGGUGAGGUAGGCGGAAUUCGUGGUGUAGCGGUGAAAUGCUUAGAUAUCACGAAGAACCCCGAUUGCGAAGGCAGCUUACUACACUGUGACUGACAUUGAUGCUCGAAAGUGCGGGUAUCAAACAGGAUUAGAUACACUUGUAGUC